UCGGCGAUAAAAGCUCGGCGUUUCAUCGAUGCCUGGCCUGCUCUUUCCCCGUGGUUAAGCUCGAUGAAGUCGUCGGGUUUAGCCGG